AGAGUUUGAUCCUGGCUCAGGACGAACGCUGGCGGCGUGCUUAAUACAUGCAAGUCGAGCGAGGUUACUGUUUCGGAUCCCUUCGGGGUGAAGAAGCUUUAACCUAGCGGCGGACGGGUGAGUAACGCGUGGGUAACCUACCCCAAAGUCCGGGAUAACAGCGGGAAACCGCUGCUAAUACCGGAUGCCUUUACCUUGGGGCAUCUUGAGGUAAAGAAAGGUAACGCUUUGGGAUGGGCCCGCGUCCCAUUAGCUAGUUGGUGAGGUAACGGCUCACCAAGGCGACGAUGGGUAGCCGGCCUGAGAGGGUGGACGGCCACACUGGGACUGAGACACGGCCCAGACUCCUACGGGAGGCAGCAGUAGGGAAUAUUGCGCAAUGGACGGAAGUCUGACGCAGCGACGCCGCGUGAGCGAUGAAGGUCUUCGGAUCGUAAAGCUCUGUCCUUGGGGAAGAAGGCGAAAGCUUGACGGUACCCAAGAAGAAAGCCCCGGCUAACUACGUGCCAGCAGCCGCGGUAAUACGUAGGGGGCGAGCGUUGUCCGGAAUUACUGGGCGUAAAGGGUGCGUAGGCGGCCCUUUAAGUCGGAUGUGAAAGCCCGCGGCUUAACCGCGGAAUGGCAUUCGAAACUGGAGGGCUUGAGUGUCGGAGAGGGUAGUGGAAUUCCCAGUGUAGCGGUGAAAUGCGUAGAUAUUGGGAGGAACACCAGUGGCGAAGGCGACUACCUGGACGAUAACUGACGCUGAGGCACGAAAGCUAGGGGAGCAAACAGGAUUAGAUACCCUGGUAGUCCUAGCCGUAAACGAUGGGUACUAGGUGUGGGUGGUUUCGAUACCAUCCGUGCCGUANUUAACGCAUUAAGUACCCCGCCUGGGGAGUACGUGCGCAAGCAUGAAACUCAAAGGAAUUGACGG
rnacentral:rRNA from 1 species